GCGUCGUCUUAUUACGACAUGCCAGCUUUAUGCAGUACCUUUCACAAAGUGCACGGCCGGUUUAUCGGAGUUAACUCGGUUACUCAGUCACCUUUCGAGGACAAUAUUUAUUCGAUCCGUUUUGCUCUCGGUUUCUUGAGCUUUCUUUUGUUGCAAAUGACUUGUCUGAAUUUGUAUUUCGUUAAUUUAAGUAAGUUACACUAAUUUAAUUUGAUUUCUCAAGUGCAUGCGCGAAACUGUUAAUUAUUUGAUAACAAUUCACUGUUAUAAGUGUGUGUCUACGUGUAAUUCGUUGACUUUUUACUAUUAAUGGUGAAGUCUUCAAAUGUUUUCUCUCUCCUUAACAUUAUAAUCCCGAAUGAAUACAUAUUACAGCAUACAGAUUGCAGCUACUAAUACUUCUGGGACUACCAGAUCCUUGGCUAAAUCCACAACAAUAUUGACCCAUUUCAAAGAUGCUCUCCAGUUUAACACCGUUUUUCGUGACUGAAAACUGUUUGCCGUAUUUGGGUGUGCACAUCGUAAAGGAACUAAUCCACGGAAUUAGGGGAUGAUACUUCGAAAGAUUUUGAUCUUUUAAAUUUACAGGGGGCACAUCACAAAAGAACUAAUCACAGGAAUGAGGGAAUGACAUUUCAAGGAACGGGAGCACAUCACAAAGGAACUAAUCCAAGGAAUGAGGGGAUGAUACUUCAAGAUCUUCUUCAAGAAAUGAUGAAGUGACUUUUCAAGGAAUGAUACGUCUUCCAGUCCAGUCAGCGAACAGGAACGACAUUUGCAAUCGACCAACUUUUAGAUCACGUGGACUUCAAAGAGAGUAAGGACUUCAAACCAACUUCAGGACCAUUUUUCUUCUCAAAGGACAGCAUUCAUAGCGGGAUUAUCUUCGUCAACAUCAAGGAGCCGUUUCUACUAGUGGGUUAACAUUAGGAACAACAGGACAUUAAGAAGAGUUUAGGAACAACAUCGCUUUCGUCGGCAACAGGGGACCAUUUCUAACGGGUGCAAAUAGCUCCCAAGGGUAAGAGUCAUCGUACAAUGGCUGGUACAUCUUCCAAUGGUAAGGAACCCCUUUCAACAACGACGAUCGUCACUGGUAGGUAAGACUUAUCCCUUCCCAAUCAGGAACACCGUCAAGGGGUUUGAAGGUAACCCUCUCUGCAGAGGUGGCACUUGUACCACAUCAUCUGCAGAUAUGGUUAUCUUUAAACAACUUGAUGUUGAUUCUUGUUUGACAAGGCAUAAGUCGAGCCUGUGAAUGACGAUCUAAGUUGUUGUAAGGUACUCCUAACCACUUGGAGGAUGUUUCUGGUCAUUGAAAGGUGGCAAUUACCACUUGGGGGGUAUUUAAUCCUGCUAAAAAUGGUCCCGCGCUCGAACAGGGGACCCUUGUCCCCCACGGUCUUCGAAUUACAAAAACGCCCAACGCAGGGAUGCACGACUCGAAAGCACGACUCGAAAAAAUGAAAAAAUUGUUAUUUUUAAUAUUUAAUACUUAUUUAUUAAUUAUAAAUACAUAUACACCC